GACGAACGCUGGCGGCGUGCUUAACACAUGCAAGUCGAACGAAGUGGCGAACGGGUGAGUAACGCGUAAUCAACCUGCCCUUCAGAGGGGGACAACAGUGGGAAACGACUGCUAAUACCGCAUACUGAAGGUGGGGAUUGCGUCGGAUUAGCUGGUUGGAGGGGUAACGGCCCACCAAGGCGAUGAUCAGUAGCCGGUCUGGAGGGGAGCACGGCCACAUUGGGACCUGGACACGGCCCAGACUCCUACGGGAGGCAACAGUGGGGAAUCUUCCGCAAUGGACGAAAGUCUUACGGAGCAACGCCGCGGGAGUGAUGACGGCCUUCGGGUUGUAAAGCUCUGUUAAUCGGGACGCGGUACCGGAAUAGAAAGCCACGGCUAACUACGUGCCAGCAGCCGCGGUAAUUC
rnacentral:rRNA from 1 species